rnacentral:rRNA from 1 species
GAACGGGUGAGUAACACGUGGGUGAUCUGCCCUGCACUUUGGGAUAAGCCUGGGAAACUGGGUCUAAUACCGAAUAGGACCACGCGCUUCAUGGUGUGUGGUGGAAAGCUUUUGCGGUGUGGGAUGGGCCCGCGGCCUAUCAGCUUGUUGGUGGGGUAAUGGCCUACCAAGGCGACGACGGGUAGCCGGCCUGAGAGGGUGACCGGCCACACUGGGACUGAGAUACGGCCCAGACUCCUACGGGAGGCAGCAGUGGGGAAUAUUGCACAAUGGGCGCAAGCCUGAUGCAGCGACGCCGCGUGAGGGAUGACGGCCUUCGGGUUGUAAACCUCUUUCAAUAGGGACGAAGCGCAAGUGACGGUACCUAUAGAAGAAGCACCGGCCAACUACGUGCCAGCAGCCGCGGUAAUACGUAGGGUGCGAGCGUUGUCCGGAAUUACUGGGCGUAAAGAGCUCGUAGGUGGUUUGUCGCGUUGUUCGUGAAAACUCACAGCUUAACUGUGGGCGUGCGGGCGAUACGGGCAGACUAGAGUACUGCAGGGGAGACUGGAAUUCCUGGUGUAGCGGUGGAAUGCGCAGAUAUCAGGAGGAACACCGGUGGCGAAGGCGGGUCUCUGGGCAGUAACUGACGCUGAGGAGCGAAAGCGUGGGGAGCGAACAGGAUUAGAUACCCUGGUAGUCCACGCCGUAAACGGUGGGUACUAGGUGUGGGUUCCUUCCUUGGGAUCCGUGCCGUAGCUAACGCAUUAAGUACCCCGCCUGGGGAGUACGGCCGCAAGGCUAAAACUCAAAGGAAUUGACGGGGGCCCGCACAAGCGGCGGAGCAUGUGGAUUAAUUCGAUGNCACGCGAAGAACCUUACCUGGGUUU